CGUUAGUCUACAUGAAAUUAUUUGUCUGUUACAGAAUGUGAUGGUAACCUGGCUUUUUAGCAUUAAGCUAAUGUUACAUGAUUCGGCAAUUGCUAACCAAUAAAUAGCUAGUUCUGUUUUAACGUCGGGUUGUUUUAACGUCGGGUUAAUAUUGUGGAGAGGGCUAAAUUGUUAAUGAAAAUAACAAUGUAACGAGAGUUUGCUGCAAGAAAGACUAGGAGGGUAAGGCUGUAGCAGGUGAUGUGAGGUUGAUGAAGGGGUGGUGUACAGUAAUUUGUAAGUCAUUCUAGUUAAUGCCAUAUUAAAAAGCACAAAUAGAGAACUGUGUAGGAUCCCCUUUUUUUGUAAUAGUUUUUAAGUCAUACUGGUUUGAUAUUUUGUUUUGUGCAGUGCCUUAUUUAUAUUGCAUUUUUAAUGUAUUUUAUGCAACUUGUUGACACAUUUUAUUUUGUGUUUAUGUAUGUAUAAACGAGGAGGACAUGCAAACUCCACACAGAAAGAUCCCGAACCCGGGAUUGAACUCCAGACUACUCAGGACCUUCAUAUUGUGAGGCAGACAAACUAACCCCUCUUCCACCGUGAAGCCGUUUUGGUGACUUUUAUCACUGAUUUACAUUUUGAAUCAUGCAUUCAAUAAUUCAUACUGUAUAUUAAGCCUGUAAUUGACACAUAUUUCAAGUUCAUACUAUUAAUAAUGAAUACUAAAUAACUGAAAUAGCAGAGGUGUGAUUUAUUUUGAGUGUAAUUAUUUAUUGUUUCUUUUUUAAUGGCUGUUAAUAGAGCCAUGUGGUUGUAGCUCAGUAAAAUCAUUGCUGUCAUCUUUAUUAUUCAUGUCAUUAAUAUAUACUGUAAGAGUCAUUGUUUUACCCAUAUAAAAUGAAAACUUACAUCUAUGAGAACCUGUUUGGGAGGGAUACCUUUCAAAGAGUAGUUUAAAAUAUGUUAACCAUGUUACAAUGAUAAAACAAAUGGAGUAAAAGCAGCGACUCUAAGAGAUUCCCGCACUCAAGUCUACACCAGUCAAACGUUUAGCCAUGCUUGACCAUGGGGUGGUCAGUCCAGGCAGGAAGUUGGGAUAGUUUCUCCUCAGUAGCUCUCUCUAUAGGCCAGCUCCAGGCCUUAAAGAACCCAGAGAGGUUCAUUUUCACCGUCUGCGAGAAGGUCUCGGCAUAAAGGUUCAUCUUUCCAUUGUUGUCCUUUGGAAUGUUGCUUAUGGUGUGGUAAGCAGCAAACACGCUCUUGAAAGCAUCCCAACCAAAUCUUUCCUGGAGCUACAUGAAAGGGAACACAAGUAAAUUAUUCUGUGUGAGGUCACGUGUAAGUGUUUUUUCAGUUAAAGUUUACCAUAAAGAGUAACAGUAUCUUACCUGUAAGUAUGUUUCCAGAGCCACCCACAUCGCCCACUUGCUUAGUGGCUUGCCCCCUUUUACAAAGUCCUGCAAUCGACUCUUUCUUUUGUCUGGAGUGAUUGCGCCGUGAGCCUGUAGUGAAGGAGGCAGUGAUGUAAAGCAUGAACGGUUAAGGGUCAUGUUAAGAACACAUAAGGACUUUACCUCUGCCCUGUUGAUCCCUAACACCAUUUCAUGCACAUACACUGACCAAAGGUUGCAUGUGCACUCUGUGGUGUGUGGUCGGAACUCCCAGCAUGCUCUCUGCUGAUUGUGUCCAAGCUCAUGAAUUGCCCCCCACAGACCUUUGCUCUUGGCAUGCUCAAUAUUGACCAGAUUAGCUGCUGAGGACUUGUGCAUCAUAACUGGGUAUCCUGAAUGCAUCCACCCUGAGGAUUAGAAAAUGAUCAGCUACAAUAACGCUCCCCGUGUGGGCCACAACCAACAUGUCAAGUGGAAAUAGUGUGAGUCAAUAAAAACAUAAAAAGGUAACGCUCUUCCUGUGUUACGGCCCUAAGUAGUGGGGCUAAAAAAGUACUACAAUGUAUUUGGUGGAUCACUCUUCCAUGCACAGCUGUGUGCGUCUCUGUGGAGCUGCCCUCGGUGAGUCUGGAAAAAAAUCCCUUACGACACAGGUGUCACAGCCUCAGGGCCCAGGGCCAGAUCUGGCCAGGGACAUAAAAUGAUGUGGCUGGUCGAAAGCCUGGAAAUAAUAUGCGCAAAUUAGAGAUGCGCGGUUUACGGUCUCAUCCGCGGAGUGUCCCCCCCGUGCGUCGGUAAGGUGGGCGGGGUUGGGGGCGUAAAAUAUAUUCAGGAAAUGUCACGGAUACAAAGGAUUCUGGGUAUUUGUUGUGUUGCGUUUAUGUUGUGUUACUGUGAGGAUGUUCUCCCGAAAUGUGUUUGUCAAUCUUGUAUUGUGUGGCUUCACAGCGUGGUGCAUAUUAGUAAGUGUUAAAGUUGUUUACAUCACAACCAUCAGUGUACUCUGUAUCACCCAGUAUGCCUUUCAAUCUUGGACGCACAAUUGCGGAAGCUGCACGCAACAUGUUGCCGGACCAACAAUUGGUUCGUACAUGUUGUUGAAGGUGUCUAAGGCAAUGGCUUCACAGCACGCCCAUUUUCUUGUCAUCAGGAUGAACGCUAUUGGAUAGUCGCAAGAACGUUAGCGGCUCCAAUUAUCUUCAUUACUCUGUGAAUCAGGUUUAAAUAGCUCUGUGAGUGGGAAAGGCGGCCAACCUCUGAUGUAUUUCAGCUGCCUGGCGGUUGGCAGGCGGGUACGGUCCUGAUAAAAUGUUGGUUCGGGUAGACGGCGGGUGGAUGACGACUUUGGUGAUGCGGUUGCGGAUGAUAUAUUUGCCUAUCUGCGCAUCUCUAGUGCAAAUAGUGUUUUCUUGAUAAAAGUAUUCAUUGUUUCCAUUUUGACAGAAAAAAAUAGAUGUGUUUAAUGCAACUGCAUAUCUUUUAAACUUUAAAAUUAUCCAAUAAUGCAACAAAUUUUAUAUUAUCAUACAUUCCAAACAUUAAACAUCUGCUUAACUUACGAUUUUAAAGCAAGUUAUCCAUUGAAUCGUACACUGCAAAAUUAAUUUUACGGUAAAAAAAUUGGCAGUUCAUUCACCAGAAAUUUACUGUAUAAGAAAAUGCAGUAAUUAGUUGUAAAAACAACAACUGUAGAUUUUACAGUAAAAUUCUAGCAACUGAGCUGUUAGUCUUUUUACUGUAAAAUCUAGAUUUAUUUUUUUACAGUGCAGUACGUAAAAUAAAUGAAUGGAUGGAAGGAUGAAAUCCUAUCAGUGUUUUGUAAAUUACUUUUAGAAAAAAAAAAGAAAGUUGUUAUGAGCUUGCUGCAAUGCAAAUCGUUAAUAAGCAAAUGCCAGCAGUUUAUAAUGAUAUUGCUUGGACUUCUUUAUUACUAUGGGCCUGCUGCAAUGCAAAGCGCCCAUUCACAUGCUACACAGUAGCAGUGAUGAGAAAGCAGCACAUAUUGAUACACCUAUCUUUUAUUCUUCUUCUAUCUUAUUCUGCCGCGCUUAAUACAAGACAAACUGGCCAACGAACCCCUACAUAUCUUAUACCGUCAGAAAGGUCUUUAUUGUGCGAUUUUUGUACCUAGUAUUACAAAUGUUUACACCAGACUCAUAUAACUUGGUAUGUGACACUUAUUAACUGUUAAUAUCCUAACAUUAGCAUGCUAGAAAGCUAACAUUAGCAUGCUAACCUUUUCAGCUAAUUAAACACUUUUUCUCUAAUUCCGCGGCUAGACACCUUAGAGUCAUAUAACUUGGUAUGUGAUAAAUGCCGACCAACGACCGGAGAUUCACCGCACAGACAGCAGGCCCAUCAACGUUUUCUGUGGGAAUUUUCUAGUUAAUUAUAGUUACUUGUUUCUUUACCAAAAAAGUAAUUGAAUUACCAACGUAAUUACUCUGAAAUAAAGUAAUUAAUUAUUAGGGAAAUCCGUUACUUAAAAAAAACUUAAAAUAUCUGGCAUUUGCAGUUGAAAGACAUUUCAUAUAGUGCGCAUUGUACGUGUGUCUAUGCUUUUAGAAGGGGAGGCCUGUUGCCUAGUGGCUUGUGACGUCAUGUAGGGCAGUGGUUCUCAAAUGGGGGUACGCGUACCCCUGGGGGUACUUGAAGGUAUGCUAAGGGGUAUGUGAGAUUUUUUUAAAAUAUUCUAAAAAUAGCAACAAUUCAAAAAUCCUUUAUAAAUAUAUUUAUUGAAUAAUACUUCAACAAAGUAUGAAUGAAAGUUCAUAAACUGUGAAAAAAAUGCAAUAUUCAGUGUUGACAGCUAUAUUUUUUGGGGACAUGUUCCAUAAACAUUGAUGUUAAAAAUUUAUUUUUGCUAAGAAAUGUUUAGAAUUAAGUUCAUGAAUCCAGAUUGAUCUCCAUUACAAUCCCCAAAGAGAACACUUUAAGUUGAUGAUUAAUUCUAUGUGUAAAAAUCUUUAUUUAUAAUUGAAUCACUUGUUUAUUUUUCAACAAGUUUUUAGUUAUUUUUACAUCUUUUUUUCCAAAUAGUUCAAGAAAGACCACUACAAAUGAGCAAUAUUUUGCACUGUAAUACAAUUUAAUAAAUCAGAAACUGAUGACAUAGUGCUGUAUUUUACUUCUUUAUCUGUUUUUUUCAACCAAAAAUGCUGUGCUCUGAUUAGGGGGUACUUGAAUUACAAAAAUGUUCACAGGGUUUACAUCACUGAAUAAAGGUUGAGAACCACUGAUCUAGGGUUUCAACGAAGCUGUGUGUGUUAGCUUUAGCUGUUAGCAGUGGGAGUGUGUUGGCUCUGACGCCAGUUCUUUAUAAUCUUUUCAGCGGAUUGUGUUACCUUUGGUUAAUAGAUUGAAUAUGUUUCGAUGGCUGUCAUAUCUUGUACAAACGGUGUAUUGUAUGAAUGGCAAGUUUGUUACUUCCGUCAUUGAAUGUUGUCGCGUAUGCUGUCUGCUGUGUCACAGUGUGAUGUUGCCUCUUCCUAUUAGAUAUCAAGUUUAUUUUAGUGCGAUGCUGAUUGUUGCUUUCACUAUAGCAAAAAUAUAUUUCCUGCAUAGAAUUUGCUGCACCUAUGAGGCUGUCUUGUUGUUGACGUACUGUAAAUAAAACCACAUCAAAAUAGGCGUUGCACGUUCCAUCAAGCUAUCACUGACAGCAUUGUAAUGGACCUUAAAAUAAUUAAUUUGAUUACUUGUUACUCGUAAAAGUAAUAUCGUUACUAACACCGUUAUUGAAUAACGCCGUUAGUACAAACACCGAUCCUUAUACAUUUAUAUUCAUACAUAUUAUUGUUACAAACGGCCCUCUUAGGGCAGCCAUAACUGCAGUGUGGUUAGAGUGUCCGCCCUGAGAUCAGUAGGUUGAGAGUUCAAACCCUGGCCGAGUCACACCAAAGACUAUAAAAAUAGGACCCAUUACCUCCCUGCUUGGCACUCAGCAUCAAGGGUUGGAAUUGGGGGUUAAAUCACCAAAAUGAUUCACGAGUGUGGCCACCGCUGCUGCUCACUGCUCCCAUCACCUCCCAGAAGGUCAACAAGGGGAUGGGUCAAAUGUAGAGAACAGAUUUCACCUAGUGUGUGUGUGACAAUCAUUGGUACUUUAACUUUAACUUAAUGUAGCCAUCGAUGAAAACAAGUUUGACACCCCUGCCCUAUGACUUGUUGUUGACUUUCCAAUGGACAAGACUCCCACAUUAUCUGUUCAUUUGAAAAUUCAAUAAUUAUAUUCACUUAACAUCCAUUUUGUUUUUACUUGCCCGAUUGUGGAUUUUUAUCAAGGGAUGCCGUGAGUAUGUAAAGCCCUUUGAGACUCUUGUGCAUAGAUACAUUUUGAUUGAUUGAUUAUAUGUAUAACGAUUGAUUUAACAUACCACACAACUGACUGCUAUAGAGGAAUGGAAAUGUAGUCGCAGUCUGGUGUAAGACAUCCAUCCAUCCAUUUUCUACCGCUUAUUCCCUUUUGGGGUCGCGGGGGGCGCUGGCGCCUAUCUCAGCUACAAUCGGGCGGAAGGCGGGGUACACCCUGGACAAGUCGCCACCUCAUCGCAGGGCCAACACAGAUAGACAGACGACAUUCACACGCACAUUCACACACUAGGGCCAAUUUAGUGUUGCCAAUCAACCUAUCCCCAGGUGCAUGUCUUUGGAAGUGGGAGGAAGCCUGAGUACCCGGAGGGAACCCACGCAUUCACGGGGAGAACAUGCAAACUCCACACAGGAAGAUCCCGAGCCUGGAUUUGAACCCAGGACUGCAGGAACUUCGUAUUGUGAGGCCGACGCACUAACCCCUCUGCCACCGUGAAGCCGGUGUAAGACAUACGUUAUUCAAAAUUUUCAGAUGACAUACCAUGAGAAAUCUGCACAUCUGCGACAAAUCGUUCUUUACGGGCAUAUGUGUGUGGUUUUGCAGCCAGAUCAGCAAUGCUUCUCAUGAUGGUGUCCCACAACUCCGCCAACAAAUCUGGCCGAUCUAGCGUCCGUACGACAUCUGAGGGUACAGUUAGGAUAAUGUUCUCAAACUCCAACUCUGCCCAGGGGGAAGGAGCUGUGCGCCGUAGAGACCAAUCGACUGGUGUUGUGGCACCUGAAAUGAACACCGAGCGAGAAUAUAAAUUAGGCACCUCUCAUAAGUGUCCAUUUUUAAACUGCGUUCCUGUAUUAACAAGGCUGUCAAAACAUUGGAUUAAAACAUUUUUGACUGGAGGCAAGACACACAUACAGUAUGUGGAUAUUCACUUGUUUAGACAAUAAUAGUUGUGUGUGAGUAAAUCUUUACUGCUAUCCAAGCUUCACACUUUAGUUGGUACUUUAGAGUGUAAGUGUCUUCAGAUAUUAAUAAACUGAAAAUGAUAAACUUCAAUGAACUGUCCCAUCCCUUCAGAAAUAUACUGUCGUAAAAAUGGAUUCUGAGGCGUGAGGCAUGUACUCACUUGUAAUAUACUUUAUAUAGUGCAAAUAGCUUACUACAUCUUUACCAGUAUUUAAGUGAUUUAAAAUAAGUAAUACAUCUUAAUUUUCCUGUGUAUAAAACAUCUUUCCUUCUUAUUUUUACAAAAAUGAACAAAUAUAGGAUUAGACAGCUCAUACAUGUACAGUUUCAAUCAAAUCCUACUCACCAGAUUUAUAAUAAGGCGCAGGCACAGCUAUCUGCACUUUGACCUCUAGGCCUUUUAUUUGGGUUUUUGGUGGGGCCACCAAGUAGACCAGACCCCCCCAUAAGUUCCACACCAGCAACAUCUCUGUGUUAACGGGAAAUCGUUCAUGAACUAUAGGAGCCCUCUUCAAGUUUUCAUGCUGAAGAUGGUCUGUUUGACAACCAAUUUGGACCUGUAGUGGAUGUACAAUAAUGCAAUGUGUAUAUGUGAUUAUUUUACAGACAAGCAAAAACAUUGCAUCACCAUCAACAAUGCUUAAAGUGACACUUUAUCUCUCUAAAAAAGUUAGCGACUUAGAAGUGAAUUGAGUUGCAUCAUUAUCAAAGUAACUAACUACCAGGAAAAUUAACUAUUACAUUACUUUAAGUUGAAGUCUAUACAAUUUCCUGGCUGUUGUUCCCCCCAAAUAAUACAGGCGAUAUUUUAAUGAAACUGAACAAUAUAUGUAUUUUUUUCUCUCUAAUUUUUCAGUCAGGUGUCGCCACAGUUUAGUUUUUACUCAGAUAGCCUUUCCUGAUGAAAUCCUCUCAAAUAUACAGGCUUUGGAUAUCAGAUCUAAUAACUUCAAGUUCCUUGUCAUGACCAUGCUCGUGAGAUGGACAUUCAUUGAUCUAAAUAUUUAGAGGUCUUACAAUAAGAUAUUAUAAAAAUACUCGGGGGGAGCGCAGAUUUCCACCAGGCUCUAUUCCUAAUAUUAAAGAACCCUUUUAAACAAAUCCUGAAUCCAGAUGGUGCUCUGGCUCACCCACAAAAUCUAAUUCCUUGUUCCUUAUUCCAUUUCUGAAAUUUUCUGAAAGUUUUAUCACAAUUUGGCCAUCAAUUUUUAACUAUGUUGCUAACUAUCUAACUAACUGACAAACACCAGGGAAUACAUAACCUCCUGGUUAUUAUGCAGUGCAUUUUGUACGGUAUAUUUUGACGUUAUUGUUUGGUAUUAUCAUAUAUUAAUCAAUCAAAAUGUAUUUAAUUAGCCUUUAUCACAAGUAGGCCUUGGAUGCCCACAAAUUUUGCUCAACAAUACAAUGACCUAAAAAUUAUUGCCAUUAAAUAUUAUUUUCAAUAGUAUUUUGAGACUUACUGAUACUUGUGUCAGUCUGGGCUCUGGCUUAUUCAUUCAUGUUUUGUUUUAUUGUGGGGACAGAAAAGCAAGCUCAAAUAAGUAACCACAAGUAAAAAAAAAAAAUUCUAAAAACCGCAAUCCACAAUUUACGUAAUUUGUAAGUGACUUUAUUAAAAAAAAAAAAAAAACAGGCCCAAAGUUGCUUGUAAUAGGCGUUGGCCUGAUUGGCAACACUGCCUGCAAUGGCUGCAACGCCAUGGUGACGUAGAUCUGGAUAAAACAUGGUAUCGGUGAUUCAGAUGGCCCUCUAAUCACUUGUUCCUUUUCCCAUUACGGACAUUUCCUGAAAGUUUCAUCAAAAUCAGCCUGCAACUUUUUGAGUUAUUUAGUUAAUUAACUAGCUAACAAACAGACAAACUCUGGGGAUUGCAUAACCUCCUGGCCAGUUCUUAUUCAGGUCUAAAAUGAAAGGCACCAUUUUUAUUUUUUCCCCGUGUUCAUUUGGAUUUGUGUGUCAUACCUUCCAUCCCUUGUUGACAAUUUGUGCAGGUAACGCCAUGUAGGUCUUCAUGCCGGGAGAGAGGUAGAGACCUGUACUGAUCCACUCAUCCCUUUCUGACGCAUAAACCAUGAUUUUCAUUUUAUUAAGUCCAUGUAAUAUUGGACGGUACAGAGGUUGAACGUUCAAAUAGCACAGCAACAAGGUCUAACCUGCAGUGUUGACGUUCAAUGGAAUUGUGUAGUCGUAGACAACAGGUAGCUGAGGAUUCUGCUUGAUUAGGUAAGGCAUCAGACUGUCAGGAUUGGGGCUAACCUUGUAUACCUCUGCUCCCACACUGAGGAGGAGGUGGUCUUUCGGAGACUUCACUGGGCAGCUGUCACAUACCUUCAACGUGACCAAAUAAAUAUAAAGAUCUAACAAUGGUGAUGAUGGUUAAGUGCGAUUUAAUGCAUGCAACUGCUGUCUUUGCUCUCAUGAGUUUAUCCAGGAACCUAACUUACCUGAGGCAUACCUGAUCUUUUCACGACAUUUGUGAGGGUGGACAGGACCUGAUUAUAUGGGCAGCAGUGGUGGGCAUUCAUCUUUAAGAAGGUCGCACAGUCCUUUCCAAGCCUUUUAAGGCAUUGCUCCUCAUGCUGGGUAAGUUUCUCUCCCUGAGUUACAUGAGCAGCAAAGCGCUGCAGAAGGUGGCGGAAGUGGUAGGUGUCUUUGACGGUCUUGUUGGGCACAGGGGCCUUGAAGACACCUCCCUUAAUGGUUGCACUCAACAAGCUUAGACCCAUUGUGUUGAGGAUUUUGUUUCCUGGAAUUAUAGGCAGUGUCAAUUAUAAAAUGAUCAAGUCAUACUAUGAAGCUGAUAUGGUAGAGUGUAACACCUGGGAACUCUGUAAAUGGGUUUUGGUCUUUGUGUUGUUGUGCCCAGUACCAGGCAUGGCCACCAAUCAACAGGCCUCCCCCCUCUGCUACAAAGUUGUGGAUCUCCUCUGCAUAUUUGUCAUUAUAUGCUGAGCCCACAAACACACUCAGGUCUUUCCGGAAGUCGGUCUUCUCACACUUGAAGCCAGAUUUCUUGAAAUGUUUAAAGACGUCUUGUUUCUCGAUACCAACAGUGCCAUGUCGGUCAUUGGUUAACCAGUGAAUUGCGUUGUUCCAAAAUGGAGCCAACGACUGUGAAGAAUUUGGCAGAUCAGAACACAAUAACAAAUACCCUUCAUGGCUCACGACAAUAACGCGCCCCAGCCCAUAAUAGGAGGCAGCCAAAAAUGUCCGUCCAUCGCCUGCCAUUGCCACAGGGAAGGCAAGCUGGCCAUGAACAAGAAUCUCAGAAGCAAGUGCUUUACCAGAGAUGUCAAACUGGGAUAUCCCAUGUAGCAAGAACUCCAGGUCUUUCUCAAAAUCCUUACCAACACUGUAUUUAAAAAGAAUAGAAGAGAAAGCUUCACUGUCAUUGUUGCAUCCAUCCAUCCAUUUUUCUACCACUUAUUCCCGUUGGGGUCGCGGGGGGCGCUGGUGCCUACCUCAGCUCCAAUCAGGCGGAAGGUGGUGUACACCCUGGACAAGUCGCCACUUCAUCGCAGGGCCAACAGAGAUAGACAGACAACAUUCACACUCACAUUCACCCACUACGGCCAAUUUAGUGUUGCCAAACAACCUAUCCCCAGGUGCAUGUCUUUGGAGGUGCCAGUUGAAUGAAAAGUGGUUUUGCGGUAGAUUCAAAGAAUGAAACUAACACUGCAAAACUAACACUGCAAAACUAUUUAAAACUACAAAAACACUCGGAGAGCACAGACUCUACUUCCAAUAGUAAAACUCCUGAAACUACACAGUGAUCCAAAUUACCCCCCAAAAUGUGAUCAUUUGUACCUUCUCCCUUUUCUGAGUUUUCCUGAAAGUUAAAUAAAAAAGUUGUCAAUGACUGAUAGAGCUUUCUAUAGCAGAAUGAAAGGAAAAGAGUGACGCCUCUUUUCAGUCAUCUACUGUUUUUGUCUUUUUGGGUGAAGGUGGGACCACUGCAAUACAUAUAGACAAAGAAGUUGAAGCUCAUUGUAGAGUAAUGUGGUGUCUGUUGAUAUUACCACAUAUCAAAGUUUGUAUAUGGUGAAUGUUUACAUUCCUCUUGGAGAAAGUGGACAAUCUGAUUUUCGGUAAAUAAGGGUAUAUCAUUGUGGGAAGGUGAUAAAGUAUGGCCAUCACGUUUACGUACAAGUGGACUAGACUAGUUCACACAAGAUAAAGCCUCAUAAAUCCAUCCUUGGUAUGCAAAGAGAUAGCCGCAUCUGUGAGAAGGGACUGCAUGUUUAAGUUAACGCCAACAAUUAAGUUAUGACAUAAAUCUGAAGUAUUAGCACACCUACACACUUUAACAUUGCCCUACAAGGUUCAGAAUGUAUGCAACUUGCAUAGCAUACACUCAAAGACAUAAGAUGAUCCCAUUGGGGAAUAUAAAACUGCUGGUUUGGCUUUUCCAAGGUAGGGGGAGACACAUUUUGGUUAAACCUCCUCCAAGUACUGCAGUCCUGUACAAUGACACUCGUUCGACAAUAAAGAAACUUUUAGUUCAAUGAUGCAUCACCGGCGUCUCCUUUGAUCCUUUACAACGCCACAUCGCCCUCAGGUCCAGACGAGGACGACAAGAUCAGCAAUACACAUCCGUAACGAGGUAUAAAUUAUUUGUAUUAACCCCAAAAUAUAAUAAUGACAACUUCCUUAUCCCAUUUCGGAUAUUUCUGGACAGAUGAAAAUCAGCCUUUAAAAAAAAAAAAGAUGUCCUUUUCUUUGAGGAAGGAUGGGAAUUGAAAGAGCUAUGUAGUGAUUCAAUGUUUUUGUACCUAUCUUUUCCGGACCACAGAUUUCAACCAUAAUUCCAUAUCCGUUUGCUGAUGCCACUGGUUUGAACACUGUCUGGUAG